UACGUAGGGGGCUAGCGUUGUCCGGAUUUAUUGGGCGUAAAGAGCGUGUAGGCGGCCAGGUAGGUCCGUUGUGAAAACUCGAGGCUCAACCUCGAGACGUCGGCGGAAACCCUCUGGCUAGAGUCCGGAAGAGGAGAGUGGAAUUCCUGGUGUAGCGGUGAAAUGCGCAGAUAUCAGGAAGAACACCAUGGCGAAGGCGCUCCUCUGGGACGGUACUGACGCUGAGACGCGAAAGCGUGGGGAGCGAACAGG
rnacentral:rRNA from 1 species